rnacentral:rRNA from 1 species
AGGAAUCUGCCUGGUAGUGGGGGACAACGUUUCGAAAGGAACGCUAAUACCGCAUACGUCCUACGGGAGAAAGCAGGGGACCUUCGGGCCUUGCGCUAUCAGAUGAGCCUAGGUCGGAUUAGCUUGUUGGUGAGGUAAUGGCUCACCAAGGCGACGAUCCGUAACUGGUCUGAGAGGAUGAUCAGUCACACUGGAACUGAGACACGGUCCAGACUCCUACGGGAGGCAGCAGUGGGGAAUAUUGGACAAUGGGCGAAAGCCUGAUCCAGCCAUGCCGCGUGUGUGAAGAAGGUCUUCGGAUUGUAAAGCACUUUAAGUUGGGAGGAAGGGUUGUAGAUUAAUACUCUGCAAUUUUGACGUUACCGACAGAAUAAGCACCGGCUAACUCUGUGCCAGCAGCCGCGGUAAUACAGAGGGUGCAAGCGUUAAUCGGAAUUACUGGGCGUAAAGCGCGCGUAGGUGGUUUGUUAAGUUGGAUGUGAAAGCCCCGGGCUCAACCUGGGAACUGCAUCCAAAACUGGCAAGCUAGAGUACGGUAGAGGGUGGUGGAAUUUCCUGU